rnacentral:lncRNA from 10 species
CGGAGUUGCAGUGACAAGCCUCUUUCAAAUGGCCUGUUAAUUCUUUUGUUUUUUUCUCAUGUGUUCCUGUGGUAGUUCCUGGAGCAAAAGUUCAAGAUGUGAGUCUCCACAUGCUGUUCUGUAUGUCUGAGCAGGAGCUGCAAGUUAGUACUGCCUCCUAUCCACCAUCUUCCUCCUGAAUUACAUUUAUUGAUUUGCAUAUGUUGAACCUAUCUUGCAUCCUGGGGAUGAAGCCUACCUCAUCAUGAUUGUUGGAGAAGAUAGGAGAAAGUGAAGAAGGGAAGAAGAGAAAAAAACAGAGAAGAAAGAAGGAAAAGAAGAUAGAGGGACAAGUAGAAGAAGGAAAGGAAAGGAAAAGCAAGGAAAAAGGAUAACCUGUCCUCUUUGACUAGUAGGCUCACCAACUCUUCUUUACCAUGGAAGGGAUUUCAGUAGGACCAAAGGCUUUUCCCAUGAAAUAGUAUUUUAUCUUGAUAAGAACCUAGCACAUUGGUUACCAACCUCCUUAAAUUGAUUCCCUCAAAAGGAAGAAAGUGUAUCUGGAAAUCCUCUGAAACUUCCAGAGUCCCCCAAGCCCAGUGCUAUUUCUACCAGGGGAGAAAGCAGAGCUCUUUGUAUAUAUGGGUAGGAGCAAAGUAAGAUUCUCCUCCCCCUUUCCCCACAACCCGAAGCAGAAGUUUCUCCUGAGAUUUCAACCAGUAAAAUCACCAUAUAAUAGAUUAGGCAUCCUGAGAAGUUCUUAAUGGAACGAGAGCUCUCACUAAUCAAAGCAGGAAAGAACAGGGCCUUGAAGAAAUCAGAAAUCUAAUUAAGGUGGAAUUUCAAGAGAUCUGACUGAAUGUUAAAUAAGUUGUAGAAGCCUCAUCAAAAGGAUUAACUCAGCUGCAGAGACAACGCAGAAGUGCAGGUGGGGAUUCUGCAUGAAGACUGGAAAAAAAAACAGUGACAAGAACUGAAAGUGGUCAUUGUGUUCAUGGUGUGUCUAAAGGACAGAUAAAAGAAAGAGGUGCCCCUGACCCCUCCUUUCAUCCCAUCUUAGUUGAUGAGGUUUGGGGAAAAGAAGAGUUUGUUAAGCUCAUUUAAUCUGUUUUGUCUUGUCCAUGUUUUCAUCAAGCAACUUUCUGAUUAAUUUGGCUUUUAGAAUAUAUUUUUCCAAGCAAGACAGAGAUUGUUAUUCAGCCAACAUGAGCAUUCCCAGCUGUUUUUGGGUUAUAUUAGCUCUGGAAUUAAAACAAAACCAAACAAAAAAGCCUCUCUGUGUUAUAUCUGCUUUCUGUGAGUUUGACUUGCAU